rnacentral:sRNA from 1 species
AAGGCCACAGGAGAUGCAGGCAGUGGCCCAGGAGAAGCAGUCUGCCCUGGCUGGAGCGGGCAAAUAGUGCCUGCCCCUUUUCCUUGUGCUGCAUCUCUCCCCUGCAGGCUGGUACAGAAGGCAGAGCUGGUACGGCUAUCCCAGACACUGAGCCUGGUGCCCCGACUGCACUGGCUACUGGUGGAGGAUGCUGAGGGUCCCACCCCGCUCGUCUCAGGGCUGCUGGCUGCCUCUGGCCUCCUCUUCACACACCUGGUAGUCCUCACGCCCAAAGCCCAGCGGCUUCGGGAGGGCGAGCCUGGCUGGGUUCAUCCCCGUGGUGUCGAGCAGCGGAACAAGGCUCUGGACUGGCUCCGGGGCAGAGGGGGUGCUGUGGGUGGGGAGAAGGACCCACCACCACCAGGGACCCAAGGAGUCGUCUACUUUGCUGACGAUGACAACACCUACAGCCGGGAGCUGUUUGAGGAGAUGCGCUGGACCCGUGGUGUCUCAGUGUGGCCUGUGGGGCUGGUGGGCGGCCUGCGAUUCGAGGGCCCUCAGGUACAGGACGGCCGGGUAGUGGGCUUCCACACAGCA